GGAUUGGAAAUGGGGGCACCCUGAUCCAGCAAUGCCGCGUGAGUGAUGAAGGCCUUCGGGUUGUNAAGCUCUUUCGGCGGGGAAGAUGAUGACGGUACCCGCAGAAGAAGCCCCGGCUAACUUCGUGCCAGCAGCCGCGGUAAUACGAAGGGGGCUAGCGUUGUUCGGAAUUACUGGGCGUAAAGGGCGCGUAGGCUGUGCUGUAAGUCAGGCGUGAAAUCCCCGGGCUCAACCUGGGAAUUGCGCAUGAUACUGCGGCGCUGGAAUGCAGGAGAGGAUGGCGGAAUUCCCAGUGUAGAGGUGAAAUUCGUAGAUAUUGGGAAGAACACCGGUGGCGAAGGCGGCCAUCUGGCCUGCAAUUGACGCUGAGGCGCGAAAGCGUGGGGAGCAAACAGGAUUAGAUACCCUGGUAGUCCACGCCGUAAACGAUGAGUGCUAGACGUCGGGGGGCUUGCCCUUCGGUGUCGCCGCUAACGCAUUAAGCACUCCGCCUGGGGAGUACGGUCGCAAGAUUAAAACUCAAAAAAAUUGACGGA
rnacentral:rRNA from 1 species